rnacentral:RNase_P_RNA from 1 species
GAAGUUCGCCAGGCAGCCGCUGUGAGCGCAAGCUCAUGGAGGAAAGUCCGGGCCCCGCAGGGCAGGAUGCCGGCUAACAGCCGGGCACCGCGAGGUGACGGAAAGUGCAACAGAAAACAUACCGCCGAUGGCUCCGCAAGGAGAUCAGGUAAGGGUGAAAUGGUGGGGUAAGGGCCCACCGCGGACGUGGUGACACGGACGGCAUGGCAAACCCCAUCCGGGGCAAGGCCAAAUAGGGGAGCGAUGGCGUGGCCCGCGCCGCUCCCGGGUAGGCUGCUAGAGGCCGCUGGCAACAGCGGUCGCAGAGGAAUGGCUGCCCACGACAGAACCCGGCUUAUCGGCGGACUUCCCAC